UCUGGGUGACGAUGACCCCCUUCCGUGGGACAGAGGGCAGGCCCCUCAGUUGUUACGGGGAGCUAACCUCCCAGGGGAAAAAUUCUGAUGAAAAUAUUCACGGCAGAAUUCCAACGGUGUCGAAAGAGCGUAUCAAAUUCCGAUUUUCUCUUCACGGGGCACUUGAACUAACAGUAAUUAAUUAUCUUGUACUUCCCUUCCCUUUUGACUUGCCCAAAGGAAUGUGUUCUAAGUACACAGAAAUAGCGGAGGACCCGUUAGACCCAGACCCAGUGCAGAGUUCUGGGAGACAGCAAAGUAAUAAGUGCAACCAACAUUUCUAGAGUGGAGCGUUCACGGUGCGGAAAACUUUCCACCAGCAAACGGAUUUAAUCCCCAUGGCACCUCUACGGGGCAGGUGCUGUUCCCAUAUUGGCUCCGAGGACGGAUUCGUGCCCAGCUUUGUGGGACGUGCCCAGAAGGCAAUGUCGAGGCACCUACGAACUCCCCUUGAGUAACGGACAUGACUUGGGACCCUGAAUCAUCUGUUUCACUGAUCUUCACGAGGCUACAACAAAGCCAAAAGCAAUGGCCAAAGUGACAAAGCCAAACAGAUGUAUGCCUGGGGUUUGCGCAGACCCAACAGAACAGAGCUAGUCACCUCCCUGGGAGAUUAUCUGAGAACCUGCUUCUCUGCUUUAACCCAACGCUGCUCAAUUGCCGCCAUUUCACGGCUCAUUAAUCCGCCUCCUGCUAGAAAGUGACCGGGGCAGAAAGAGAAGGUGAAACUCCAAGUCACUUCUGUUACUUUUUAGCAACUCUGGUCAAGAGAGAGACAGAGAGACAGUGGGGGAGGGACAGAGAGAGGAGGAGGCACAGAAUCCAAAGCAGGCUCCAGGCUCUGAGCUGUCAGCACAGAGUGCGACGCGGGGCUCAAGCCCACGGACCGUGAGAUCAUGACCUGAGCGGAAGUCAGCUGCUUAACCGACUGAGCCACCCAGCAGGAAAUACAAAUAUUAAUGGACACAGCCAAGACGGAGAAGGGACAAGAAAAGGAAGCAGGAGCGAAAGAAGAAAGCUGGUUUUUGGCUCAGAUUUGUGCACGUUUCUAAAAAUAACAUCAAAGCCCUCAGAACACGUAUGGCCUGGGGGCGCCUGCACUUGUUGGAUGUUUCCCAGGGUGUCCGACAAGGCGGCUUUCAGCAAAUAGCAGCCCAUCUUUUCAAAUUAGAGGGCUGUUAAAACGUGGCUUUAGAAAAUCUUUUGCAGGACUCAAAAGAAGAGAUAAAUCUAUGAAUCUGAAAACAUGGCGUAAAAGUCUUAUUCUAACUAGUGUCCUCGGCCCCCAAGCUCAGAGCUGGUCUCUCCUCUAUGUCCACAAAGCACGUGGAGUUAGUGUAAUUAGUUUGGGGCUCAGGUCACAUGGUCC